rnacentral:rRNA from 1 species
AAAUUUGAAAUCUGGCCCCCCCCGCGGGGCCCGAGUUGUAAUUUGCAGAGGAUGCUUUUGGCGCGGCGCCUUCCGAGUUCCCUGGAACGGGACGCCAUAGAGGGUGAGAGCCCCGUCUGGUCGGACGCCCAGCCUCUGUAAAGCUCCUUCGACGAGUCGAGUAGUUUGGGAAUGCUGCUCUAAAUGGGAGGUAUAUGUCUUCUAAAGCUAAAUACUGGCCAGAGACCGAUAGCGCACAAGUAGAGUGAUCGAAAGAUGAAAAGCACUUUGAAAAGAGGGUUAAACAGUACGUGAAAUUGUUGAAAGGGAAGCGCUUGUGACCAGACAUGGGCGCGGCGAAUCAUCCGGCGUUCUCGCCGGUGCACUUCGCCGCGCCCGGGCCAGCAUCAGUUCGCGGCGGGGGACAAAGGCGCCGGGAACGUGGCUCCCCCGGGAGUGUUAUAGCCCGGCGCGCAAUGCCCCGCGGCGGACUGAGGUUCGCGCAUCCGCAAGGAUGCUGGCGUAAUGGUCACCAGUGACCCGUCUUGAAACACGGACCAAGGAGUCGUCCUCGUAUGCGAGUGUUCGGGUGUCAAACCCCUACGCGCAAUGAAAGUGAACGCAGGUGAGAGCCUCACGGCGCAUCAUCGACCGAUCCUGAUGUUCUCGGAUGGAUUUGAGUAAGAGCAUACGGGGCCGGACCCGAAAGAAGGUGAACUAUGCCUGUGUAGGGUGAAGCCAGAGGAAACUCUGGUGGAGGCUCGCAGCGGUUCUGACGUGCAAAUCGAUCGUCCAAACAUGGGCAUGGGGGCG